AAUAAAUAUAGUUUUACACUGCUCAUGUCCAACGUUUGACCGUUCGUCUUAUUUAAUUUUUUUUUGUGAUUAGUAUUUUUAUUGUUAUUAGAUAAUAAAAUAUGAAUAAUACUUUAUGUGUGGCUAAUUCUUUUUAACUUUUUCAUAAAUUUUUCAAAUAAGACAGACGGUCAAACAUUGGCCACGGAUACCCACGACUACACUUAUU
rfam:Oryza glumipatula chromosome 5, whole genome shotgun sequence.